GCGGGAGUAGCUUAGUGGUAAAGCUCCAGCCUUCCAAGCUGGCUAUGCGAGUUCGAUUCUCGUCUCCCGCUCCA
rnacentral:tRNA from 2 species